UACAGGGGGUGCAAACGUUGCUCGGAAUUAUUGGGCGUAAAGCGCGCGUAGGCGGUCCGAUAAGUCCCGUGUGAAAGCCCCCGGCUCAACUGGGGAACUGCACGGGAAACUGACGGACUUGAGUUCGGGAGAGGGAUGCGGAAUUCCAGGUGUAGCGGUGAAAUGCGUAGAUAUCUGGAGGAACACCGGUGGCGAAGGCGGCAUCCUGGACCGGCAUUGACGCUGAGGCGCGAAAGCUAGGGGAGCAAACGGG
rnacentral:rRNA from 1 species